ensembl:lncRNA
AAAUGAUAUAAAGAAGCAAUGAACGUUCAAUGUUUUAUAUUUAAAAUACGUUUUGUGAGGAAAACAAUGUGGCAUAGAAACAGGACUGAAAGGUUCUCCAAGAUAAUGCCAGCGACUGCAAGAUGUCAGCAGCAUUGCCAUGUGAGUUUCAAGGUAAUCAUAAUACUUGGAAGCGAGAGCAAGAAGGAGAGGACUUGGCACUCACAGAGUUUGGAGCUCUCCAAGAUCUUUACAAACACAACACAGUUAACCCUUGAAAGAGAGAGAAACCCUACUCGUCUGCAUGGAGAGGAGCUUGUGCUGCACACAAAAGGCACUGGCACUCCAAAAAGCAGAAGCUCUCCCCUCUGCCCCCCAGUUCAGGAACAGCAGCCCUGUCAGAGGAGCAACCCCUUCAGUGCCUGCAGAGGGUGCAGAAGUAUGGGGCUGCUUGCUGCUCACCUGUUUGGCAUCGGCGCUGCACAGGUCUCAGCUGGAUGAUGGCCACCCAGGGCCUGGUGUGCGUGGCAUUGGUGGCCGUGCUGUGCGAUGGAGCAGAGAGGAGG